rnacentral:rRNA from 1 species
UACGUAGGAGGCAAGCGUUGUCCGGAAUUACUGGGCGUAAAGCGCGUGUAGGUGGUGGGACAAGUCUGCUGUGAAAGCGCCUGGCUUAACCGGGCGAGGUCGGCGGAAACUGUCCGACUCGAGGACGGUAGAGGGGGGUGGAAUUCCCGGUGUAGUGGUGAAAUGCGUAGAUAUCAGGAGGAACACCUGUGGUGUAGACGGCUUUCUGGACCAUAGCUGACGCUGAGACACGAAAGCGUGGGUAGCAAACAGG